UACGUAGGGUGCGAGCGUUGUCCGGAAUUAUUGGGCGUAAAGAGCUCGUAGGCGGUCUGUCGCGUCGAAACUGUGAAACCCGGGGCUCAACUCCGGGCUUGCAUUCGAUACGGGCAGGCUAGAGUUCGGUAGGGGAGUCUGGAAUUCCUGGUGUAGCGGUGAAAUGCGCAGAUAUCAGGAGGAACACCGGUGGCGAAGGCGGGACUCUGGGCCGAUACUGACGCUGAGGAGCGAAAGCGUGGGGAGCGAACAGG
rnacentral:rRNA from 1 species